rnacentral:rRNA from 1 species
CCCUUAGAUGUUCUGGGCGGCCCGCGCACUACAAUGGCGUGUGCAGCGAGUGCCGAAGGAGAGUUUUCCGAGGUAUUCUUGCAAUGCUCGUUUUGAUGGGGAUAGACCCUUGCAACUGUUGGUUUUGAACGAGGAAUUCCUUGUAAGCAUGGUUUAUCAUCCGACGCUGAAUGCGUCCCUGCCCUUUGUACACACCGCCCGUCGCUCCUACCGAUGAGUCGUCCGGUGAAGUUCGUAGACCUCGUGGUCGCGGAUCACUGGGGGAAGCAAAAUGAACCUCGCGGUUUAGAGGAAGGAGAAGUCGUAACA